UGUGCGUUUGAUCUAAGGUAAUCAUUUUCACCAAAAAAUAUACAGUCCGUUUGGAGGAGUAAAAUAAUUUCUGUCUGCGUAAAGUAAAAACCUAGUAACUAUAUUAGAGACGAUAUUUUUGCUAAUCAUUAUUAAUUGCUAUUAUUGAAAACAAGUAAUAAAAUAUUUUUUUGGUCUAUCAUAUUUUCCAUUGGCUAAAGUAUAAAAGAUGUAUUUACUGAGU